rnacentral:lncRNA from 1 species
CUCGUAUUAUAUUUGUGUGGGUAUGAGAGUAUACAUUAUGAAAUAUUAAACGGAAGCAUUUUGUACAAUAAAGGACAAACUAGCAGUCGAGCUGUAGAUUAGUCUUAUCACUCUUCUGCAGGAAACCAGGAAGAGAUGGAGAGAGAGAGAGAGAGAAAGGUGUGAGUGCAUAAGUCAAUUUCUGCCAGAGGAACAGCGCAGGACAAAGCUGAGGUAAAAGCAAGUGACGAAAGGAAGAAGUCAGGCAGAUUCCACCCACCUUCCUCUCUCCCGUUUGCUCACUACCUCCCUUUAUUUUUAUUAAAUGGAAGGGGGUUGCUUUUAAACCCUGAAAUAGCUGUGUGUGUGAGUGAGAGAGAGAGAGAGAGAGAGAGAGAGAGAGAGCAAUCAGCCUGGAAAAUGCCCUCUCCCCGUGUGUUUCUUUUGCCCUUUUCCUUCCACUGAGGCUGGCAGAGGUGUGUCAGCGACGGAAUGACAAGAGCCAUCAGGCUCCUGCCACCGAAGCACGUGGGUGAAUUGGGCAGUCGGCUGUAUCAGCAGAGGCCAUCGGCACGUUCAGCCGCCUAUCAGGACUGCGCCUGGCAGGCGGGGAGAUACAUUUAGAUAAAGCAGGCAGCAAUCGUUGAUAACAAGUCCCUCAAAUGUCAGGCAGCAUAAAGGGCAGUAUUGAUUGCUGCCUCACAGCCCGCCUUUCCUUUUCUUUGGUGCUCUAUUUCCCUCCUCUCUCUCCCCUCCCGCCGCUGCCGCACACACACACUCUUCUUCUUCUUUAUUAUAGGAAAGACUGGCUGGGAUAAUCUGCCUGCAGAAAAAGGCCAUUGUGCUACAACGCACAUUGUGUUAGUCGCUAAAUAGAACUUAUCAGCGUUCCUCCAAUUCCGCUAGCCUCUGUUCCAAUUCAUCCCUCCCCACCUUCUCCCGGCUUCCUUGUUCUGUUUCCCAGAUGAUCUCGACCCUUUCGCCUUCCAUUUUGGUUAUCGUCAUUAAAAAGAGUAUGAGGAGGCAGGCUGGUGACUUCCUGACCACCAGCUAAUCAAAGGUAAAGUCUGCAGCCCCCAAUCAUCCCUUCCCCUGUCCUCACCCAAUGAAAAUUCAUCUCAGAUUCCACAUGCUUUGAGAAACCAGUCCCAAAGCAAUCAGGGCCAUAGGAACCUAAGAAGAGUCUGUGGGAUCAGACCAGUAUAGCAUCCUGUUCUCACAGUGGUCAAUCAGCUGCCUGUGGGAAAACAGCAAGCAGGAUUCAAGCACAAGUGCACUUCCACCUCUUGAGUUUUCCUGCAACCGCUAUUCAGAAGCAGAUCAUAGCCGUCAUGGCUAGUAGCCAUUGAUAGCCUUCCCCUCCAUGAAUUUGUCCAAUCCUCUUUCACAACCAUCCAAAUUGGUGGCCAUCACGGCCUCCUGUGGGAACGAGUUCUACAGUUUGGCUAUGUUUUAAGGCUGCAGUCCUGUGCACACUUACCUGGGAGAAAGUCUCAUUGAACUAAAGGGGACUUACUUCCGAGUAGAGAUGUAUAAGAAGUUUGUCUCUCCAUCCUGCCCUGUCCUCAAAAACAAUCACCUUCUUCUCCCACUGCAAAAUGCUUUGAAACUCUAUCAGGUUUCAGAAGUGAGACAGUUGCCGCAGGCAGGAAUGGGGGAGGAAUUGGAUGCAGUUCACAUUUCAAGGCAAACAUACUGAAUUUGCACUUUCCAAAACGCCAUGCAAACCAAAACCCAGCCAUCCUUCCAAAUUCACACUUCUCCGAAUUUUGCAGUGCAGUUCUCUGGCCAAGUAAUGUGUGCAAAAAUGUACAGUGGUGCCCCGCAAGACGAAAAACUCGCUAGACGAAAGCGUUUUGUGUUUUUUGAGCUGCUUCGCAAGACGAAUUUCCCUAUGGGCUUGCUUCGCAAGACAAAAACGUCUUGCAAGUUUGUUUCCUUUUUCUUAACACCGUUAAUACAGUUGCGACUUGACUUCGAGGAGCAACUCAUAGAACACGGUGUGGUAGCCUUUUCUGAGGUUUUUAAAGACUUUGGUGAUUUUUGAAGCUUUUCCAAAACUUCUUUUGCAGCCAUUUGGUAAGUUAAACUUUUAAAACUUUUUGGGGGGCUUUUGGAUUUUGGGUUGGGGUGUUUGGAAUUCAAGGACUUGGUGUUGGGGAGGGGUUUGCAAGAAUCUGGAAGCUUGUGUGGUUUUUUCUGAAUUUUUAUGAUUUUUGUGACCAUUGGGCCACUCUGCUGUUUUUAAAAAAAUUCUGGAUUUGAAUUUCUGUGUGGUGGGUGGCUGGGGGAACAGUUGAGGAGGGGUUUGCAAGAAUCUGGAAGCUUGUGUGGUUUUUUCUGAAUUUUUAUGAUUUUCUGUGACCAUUGGGCCACUCUGCUGUUUUUUAAAAAAAAUUCUGGAUUUGAAUUUCUGUGUGAUGGGUGUCUGGGGGAAAAGUUGAGGAGGGGUUUGCAAGAAUCUGGAAGCUUGUGUGGUUUUUUCCUGCAUUUUUAUGAUUUUCUGUGACCAUUGGGCCACUCUGCUGUUUUUUAAAAAAAAUUCUGGAUUUGAAUUUCUGUGUGGUGGGUGUGACUUUAAAGAGCACUUAAUAAACUCUUGUUGUACCAAAUUUGGCUUUGUUUGGACUUUUUUUGACCAUAGGAACGCAUUAAUUGAAUUUCAAUGCAUUCCUAUGGGAUUUCGUGCUUCGCAAGACAAAAAAUUCGCUAGACGAAAAAACUCGCGGAAUGAAUUAAUUUCGUCUUGCGAGGCACCACUGUAUAUGCAAAGGUAAAAUGUGCACGUUAAUGUAUAUAUUAGUGAAAACAACAUACAAUAAUGUGUUAUAUAAUGGAAGACUGCUUUGCAGAAAUAUGUGUAUGAGGAAAAAUUGCACUGAAUUUUCAUGAGGGUGAAAUUAGAUAAGGAAGAACAUUAAAAUGCAAUUGUAUGUAAUUUGGGUUAUAAACAUUGGUGUUGGGUGAGCAGGAAGUCACUAGUUUUGUUGAACUGGAAUAUAACUGUUGAGUAACAAAUGUAACUUUCAAUAUGGAAAAAGAAAAUAUUAUUGUUAUUAAAAAAAACUGUACUGAAUUUUCAAGAGGGGUUUUUUUAAAAAAAGGAAAUGUUGCAGAAAUGUGGAGAACCAAACAUAAGACUAGAAAAAUGAGAAAUGGAGAGAAGCUGAAAUAGCCCUUUCCUAUCUACUGCUUCCCCACCAAGAGAACACUUGCACCCAUAUAGACCAACCUCGUUAUAUGGCUGAGCAUUGAGGAUCUUUGGUUUUAGCACACUCUGCAGAGAUACUUCUGGUGGCAACCAGAAUGAGAUCCUUCUCUUUUGUGGCACUCAUUUGGUGGACAGUCUCCCCCUGGAAAUAAGGCGUGCAAUGAGUGCCUUCUGAAAAUGCAUUGAGAUUUGGCCUUGAGAAGUGUUCUGGUUACUGAAUGUAUGGUUGCAUUUCAAUAUGUACUUCUUCUUUUUGGCUUUACUGGCUUUAAACUUUUAUUGGCUUUAAAUUUUGCCUAUUGCCCGAGGGAUCGUAUUUUAGGGUUGUAAAUCACCUUGGGAUUGGUAUGGAAGGUGGUGUAUCAGUGUUUGAGAAUGAAUAAAUAAAUUUCACGUGAGGGGCAAACGCCCUGGGGGAGAUUUGGAACAGAGAAGCAAAAGGUGCUCAUUCCUCAGCUACUGAUCUGCUCCAGACUCUCCUGUCUCAAAGUGCUCUUUAUUCUUAAAAAGAGAGGGCUGCCAAGGUUUACUUAAACCCUCAUACAAAAAAGGUGACUGGGUUCUGGUUGGCAACACGACGACAUUGGUCUGGAUAUCUGCUCUGAACUCUGUUCAAUUCUCUCUUUUUUAAACCAAUGUGGAUUUCAAGCCAAUUCGCACCCUCCUCCUUCAAUAACGAACAGAUCGUUCCCAGCUAUUAGGGAGGGGGGAAUUGCAAUCCUUGACACUUAUAAUCACCAUUUUAAUUAUUAUAAUUUUAGAACAUGUACAAUGCCAAUAAUAGGGCUCUGAAACAAAAGGCACGGUGUCCCCAGAGAGAUAAAUGACAAUGGGUUUUGUCUCAUGUGCUUGCUGUAAUUGUGGCUGCCUGAUCUGAUGCAAUUUUGUGCUUUUAUAUUUUUAGUUUGAUAGCAUUUUCAAAUGUGAAAGGCUUUAUGAAAGAUAGGCACCAAGGGCGAAAUCCAGUUGCUGCUGGCGCUACUCCAAGCACAGGUGACAUCCGUGGAGGCCUUGCGGCAGGAAAGCAAAUAGCUUAAAGGCUGUGAAAUCACAGCAGAACCAGCUGAAAAAUAAAUGGCUGGCUGGACAGUGUCAGCUUCAGUAUUUGCGAAGGAGGGUGCUCAGGAAAUGCAGCUUCACUGAGCCCCCCUAUUUGGAAGAGAAAAAGUAGUCAGAGAAUUUUAUCAUGCUGUCUCUGCUCUUCCUGGGUGCUGCAAGCAGAGUGACAAUGGUACCUCUGUUGAGAUGGCAGUGCCUUUGCUGGUCUUGGGGGCCUUAGUAAAUGGCCAACUUUGCCAUCCUCAGGAGUCAGCCCUGACUUCAGUGGUAUCAUUUGACUAUGAUGCUAGGAGGCUUGCAUUGAAGACUCAGGAGCAUUGGGGUUUUCUUACAGCCCUGUGCAAACAUUACUUUAAAACAGAAUGAAUAUACAGAGUCAAUCUGAAAAUGUUCCAUAUAUGCACAGGUUCCAUAUAUGCAAUCUGCAUCCUCAGUUUUCGUACAAAAUAGAUUCCAUGAAAAUUGUGUGACACCCCCCCCCAAGCUGCUGUCAGUCCCUAGAGCAGCGGUUCUCGGCCUGUGGGUCCCCAGAUGUUGUUGGACUACAACUCCCAUCAUCCCUGAGCUCUGGCCUUGCUAGCUAUGGGUGUUGGGAGUUGUAGUUCAACAACAUCUGGGGCCCCACAGGUUGAGAAAGGCUGCCCUAGAGAGUAUUUUCCAUUGAUGUCAUGGCACAAGAAGACAUGGUUAACCCCCUUCCAGCAGGCCACAAUUAGGGCCCUGCUCUCCAUCCCAUGGCAACUAUUUGAAAUCUUGUUAACCAUGGCUGUUAAUUGCUUACAUGCAGUUAAGGCCUUGCCCACUUUAACCUGUUAGUCUUGCUUAAGGUCAUAGAAAUGUCCUGUCUGAUUAGAUCAGGGUCCACCUAAUCCAGCAUUUGCUGCAAGAUUCCCAGCAAACAGUGAUCAUUUAGUGAUCCACCCCAAGUUGUCUGGUGGUUCCCGUGAACCUUCCGCCCAUUUCUGACCUACAUCACAUACUGAAACUGGGAUUAUGUGCAAUUAUCAGGGACACCUGGAAAUUGCAUUUCUGUUGAAAGAGGCUAGAGAGUACUCUUAGGAUCCUCACCAAAUGUCAAAACUGCCGACAUGGCUGCAGUGUGGUCAUCAGAACUCAAUAGAGGAAACAGAAGUACAUAUUUGUGGCACUGUGGUGCCUUGUCUCCUAAUAUCCCCCUUUCUCUCAACAGCUUAACUAACCAUUCCUAUAUUGCUUUCUUCAUCUUGUCAGAUGAGUAAGCUGCUUUUUAUUCAAAAACGGGGUCCUAAAAAUCUGAACUGGUCAUAUCUGCUUUUACUGCCAGAAAAAGUCUGACUAGAAUGCCAGUGCAACAUAAUGUUUUCUCUAUUUCUUUUUUAGAUGUGCAGGAGUCAUCCUUAAAAAGCUCCUAAGAAGCUUUACAUCACAUAUGGAAGAUUUACUAAGACCCACUUUGCCCCACCGUUAAAAAAACAGAUGACAGAAUCCAUCGAUACAUUUGAGGGAUGCAAGAUCUGGAGAGAAGGCUGCUCCGAUCCUUAAACGAAGUGGCGUUUUGUCAUUAACAUUCCCCAAAGAUCUUUCAUUCUUAAAUAAAGUUUGCAC